rnacentral:rRNA from 1 species
CGGAGGAAAAGAAACCAACAGGGAUUGCCCUAGUAACGGCGAGUGAAGCGGCAAUAGCUCAAAUUUGAAAGCUGGCCUUCUGGUCCGCAUUGUAAUUUGUAGAGGAUGCUUUUAGGCAGCCGCCGGUCUAAGUUCCUUGGAACAGGACGUCAUAGAGGGUGAGAAUCCCGUAUGUGACCGGCUCUGGCACCUUAUGUAAAGCUCCUUCGACGAGUCGAGUUGUUUGGGAAUGCAGCUCUAAAUGGGAGGUAAAUUUCUUCUAAAGCUAAAUACUGGCGAGAGACCGAUAGCGCACAAGUAGAGUGAUCGAAAGAUGAAAAGCACUUUGGAAAGAGAGUUAAAAAGCACGUGAAAUUGUUGAAAGGGAAGCGCUUGCAAUCAGACUUGGACUUGGCUGUUCAACCGGUCUUCUGACCGGCCUAUUCAGUCUUGUCCAGGCCAGCAUCAGUUUCGGCGGCCGGAUAAAGGCCCUGGGAAUGUAGCUGCCUCUUCGGGGGCAGUGUUAUAGCCCAGGGUGUAAUACGGCCAGCUGGGACUGAGGUCCGCGCUUCGGCUAGGAUGCUGGCGUAAUGGUUGUAAGCGGCCCGU